UUACAAAAAAUGUCAUUAAAAUUAAAGAUAAAAGCCAGCACAAAAAUAAAAAACAAAGAACAUUCACUUGAAAACCCCAAAAUGUACAUCAACUGGCACUAUGAACACUAUGAACCAAUAAUAAAUGGAUUAAACAUGAAACACCAUCACCACCUCAUCUCCUUUCCAAUAACCAACCCUGUWAAGCACCAUUAAAUAUACUAUACCGGUCGAACACCUUUAAAUCAAAACACACUGUCUCACAGGACAGCUGCCUGUUGGUGGUGACAAGACAAAUUUGUGCUCUGCUUCUUUUUUCUUAGUUUUUAGGACGGUGCAUCCUUCUUCUUAUUCUACCUUUUAACGUUAGCAGCACAACCAGCUCCCAUGAUAGCUGUUGUUGCGCAGCUUCUUUCCUCAUUCAUUAAAAAGCUCAAACCAGGGACAGCUUUAGAUAAGGACAGGUCAUCCCUAACAGGGACUGUCCCUUGAAAACAGGAAUGUAUGGUCUCCCUGAAGUUUUGCUACUUUUGAACCUUAUCUGCCUGCCUUCUUCUCAGCCUGUGAGCCAGUCGUAGCUGAAAACCUGACACGUAGCUGUGUCAUGUAGCAGGAUGCUAAUCCUGACAACUCUCAACAUGAGGUUAUUCUUCACAAAGCAGAGCCCACCGCUGAUAAAAUGAACACGCUGUCUGAACCAUCUGCUGUUUUAUGACGCAGCAGAGCACUUAAACGUCCCGAGUUAAGUGCACUCCGCACACAGCACAGGCCUGUCACUGGCUCUGUUAUCAGCAUCACUGAUGGACACUGAAGAACAAACCCUUCACAUGUGGUUUUAUUUUGUUCAAAGACAAACAAGAUUCAAAAUWUGAAAAAAAUGUUGGUUUAAAACUAAAGUUAAAGCUUAAACUACAAAAAGCACACAGUUUUCAUUGAAAUACCCUUAUUUAUUUUUCUGUUCAAACUUUGUGUUCUGUGUCCUGUUGUUUAGUUGUGUUUUGGUGGCAGCUUAGCCAUUUCAUGUGGUCUCAGUUCUCUCUACUCGUCAUGUUGUUUAAAGUGAUCUGACUACUGUCACAUGUUGGRCAUGUAAACAGAGAGGGACAAGACAGAAAACCAGACUAGAACCAAAAUAACACAAGAACCCAGACAAACCAUAACACGCCAACUGUCAAACAACGGGACAGUCCUGGAUUUGACCCCUCCUGUUCUCGUGAUGUCCAAAUGUAUUUGAGAAGCGCUUCCUUUGCUUUAUGAAAUAUGGUUAUUAUUGCACAAAGCAAUAAUAACCAUAUUUUGGCUGUAGAGAGCAACGUUUAAGUUUUCAGAAACCGGCACAAGUUUUCACAGAGUUACAGUAAAGCAAAGCGCAGAGUGUGAAUGUUGGUAGGGGAGGGGGUUGUGUGUGUGUGUGUGUGUGUGCGUGUGUGUGUGUGUGUGUGUGUGUGUGUGUGUGUGUGUGUGUGUGUGUGUGUGU